UUUUGGAAACAGGGUCUAGCUACAUAUCCCAGGAUGACCUUAAACUCAUAUUCCUCCUGCUUGAGACUUUCCAGUGUUGGGCUGAGAGAUGUUCACGGCCACACCCUGUUCUAUAUGCAUUUUGAACUGUGCUCAUGUUAGCAAGAAGCCACAGUUCACUUGUGCUACUUUCUUAGAUAUGGUCCAGUGAAUUGUGACGGCUUUAUUAUGACAGAUUUAUUUAUUUGUUUGUUUGUUUUUUGAAGUAGAAGCUCAUGUAGUCCAGACUGGCCUCAAACUUGUUACAUAGCCAAGGAUGACUGAACUUCUGACCCUCUUGGCACCCACUUCCGAGUGCUGGGAUUCCAGGCAUGCACUGCCACACCUAGUGCUAAGGAUCAAGCCCAGCUCUUCAUGCAUGCUGGGCAAGCACUCUACCAAGCACACUAUGUUUGCCAGCCUCACGUUCUGACUACAUUGUAAAUUGCUUCAUUUCAAACAAGAGGGAAAAAAGGUCUCUCAGUACCGCCAAGUUCUUGGAAUUUAUCCAAUAGAAAAUGUGCCCGUUGUCCCCUCCUCCCCCAUGUGACCAUGCCCUCCUAGGAAGUGAGCUACAACAGCUUUGGCUACAACCCAGACACAACUCUGGCCAGACCAGUGGCACCAUCAGCGACCACACUGCCCCAGCCUAGAGACAGGAGUAACCCUUGUUCACAGCAUUAGUCUUCCUGGGCAGCCUGGGGUCCUGUUUCCCAUCCACCUUCUCCUGGGGCCAUUUUGGAUGGGUAGGUCAAUUUGGCUAUUGACCGAUCUAAAGCAUUCACCCUUGGUGGUCCCCAGUCAUGUUCCUUUACCUUCACAGAGCGUUCUAACUGGAACUCACUGCCUGCCAGUCUUUGCCUUCGUGCUCUUCUCUUUUGCUCUCCAUGCAUCCCUGACCUGGGUCCUCAAUAGUCCAUCCCCCAUUGAGCCUAAUGGGUUCCUGGUCAAGCCUACCUUCCCUCACCCUCUUUAGGAUUUUUCUAAGAGUCCUGUAUAUAAAGUAUUGUCAUAAUUAUCCCUGAUUAAUAUUUUUGCACCUAAUAAAGUCUCAGGGCCUGGGCUGGGGAGGCUCACCUUCCAGAUGGCUUCUCCAGCAAUUAAAGUGACUUGUUAGUUGGAGGCCCGGGAUGGCUGAGGACAGCUGGAGAGCUGUCCUUUGCAAGCAGCUCUGGUUAACAUCAACCAGGAAAGCUCUCUGUAAACACAUGAAUAAUUGAUUGUGCAGUGCUCACAUAGCUACUGCGGAUCUGAGCCCGGAUGACUCAUUUGCGAGCCAUCCCUGUCGUCUGGAUGCCAUAACAUUGGAGGAAUGAUGACGGUUUCUUGGAGGUUCUUCUGUGGCCGGCGUAGCCAAGACGAAGACUGUAAUGGGCUUUUAGAGAAAAAGAGAAGAUCCCAAGUCCUGGCAACGUGCUACCCAACUGACAUGUCCCUGAAUUAUAUUGUGCCCCAGCUUUUUAAUUAUAUCACCCCCCCCUCUACUCUCCAGGAUCUUCUUGCAGUGAGACAGGACUUUCCUGUGGUUGUGUGCCUCACACUGGCUGGUAAGCUAUAUGUCAGCAGACAGUGUUCCGUGUGUCAUCUUUAGACAGGAUAGAAGGGACACUCUGCUUUUCUCUUUGCUACAACAUACUCUCAAGCGAUGGACUUUAUUAGCAGUGUCUGGUAAUAGCUGCCUAGGUCGACAAUAAAUAGCUUUUUAAUAGUAUGUUGUUUUGAGCUGUGAAAAAAAAAUGCAAGGAUGUCUCAAGGCCUUUUGCAGAAAAGACCGAUUUUAGGGUGAGUCUGUCUCUGCCUGGUAUGAUCAACUCGGUGCCUUCAUUAACUUCUCUGUGGGUUGUGGUCACUUAAUGACGAGUGAUGGAUGAACUCUUCAGUGAAAGGCCUUGGCUCUUGAAUCUUCCCCGACUGAAUCUGAAUUUCUUUUUAACAGCACCAAGCACUGAGCUAUAGGAUUUGAUCUUGUCUGGAUAAGUUCUCUGGGACAAGGGCCUAGACUAUUUUCUAAACUUGUGCUAUAAUAAUCUCUUUUAAGCAGUUGAUGGUUUAGAAACUGAGGCAUACACAGUAUUUUCAAGCAGAGUUUUUCAUAAUACAUGAGAGACAGAGAAAACUCAAGUGUCCCCGGACAAGCCAAAUUAGGCACUCAGUGGGAUGUUAUUCAGCCUUAAGUUUUAGCAACCCCCUGGCAUGUGUUCAAUGUAGAUGAAAUGAAAGCAGUCACACAGCAUAAAUAUCACACAGUUCCACUCCUGUGGGUAUCUAGUAGUCAAACUUAGAAACAGAGAGAAGGAAAGCUUCGAGGGCAGAGAGAGCAGGGGUUGGUGGCUCUGGUGCUGCUGUCUAACGGGUUCAGGGCUCCAGUCUUACAAGUUAGAGGAGAUGCAGUGAGUCAUUGUCCAGAAAUGAGGAGUGCUUCCCUUUGCAAGCUUGAUGCUCUGUACGCUUUGCUGAGACUUAGACAUGAUACACAGAAGAGGGGGUUGGGGAUUUAGCUCAGUGGUAGAGCGCUUGCCUAGCAAGCGAAAGACCCUGGGUUCGCUCUUCAGCUCCAAGAAAGAAAGAAAGAAAAAAGACAAAACAAAAAAAAGACCAAAAAAACCAAAACCAAAAACAAAAACAAAAAA